rnacentral:rRNA from 1 species
UAUGUAGGCGGUUGCGUAAGUUCGGUGUGAAAUCUCCCGGCUUAACUGGGAGGGUGCGCCGAAAACUGCGUGGCUCGAGUGUGGGAGAGGAGAGCGGAAUUCCUGGUGUAGCGGUGAAAUGCGUAGAUAUCAGGAGGAACACCGGCGGUGUAGACGGCUCUCUGGACCAUUACUGACGCUGAGAUACGAAAGCGUGGGUAGCAAACAGGAUUAGAUACCCUGGUAGUCCACGCCCUAAACGAUGCACACUUGGUGUGAGCAGUUCAUUCUGUUCGUGCCGGAGCUAACGCGUUAAGUGUGCCGCCUGGGGAGUACGGUCGCAAGGCUGAA